UGGCUGUUAUUCAGUACCACACUGUUGACUGGGACGCCGGUCUCUGAUUUUGUCUCAAGGCAAUGAAGAUAUGGCAAAGGCCGGAGGUGAGGCCGCUGCCACUGCACUUAGUCCUGCGACUCCCCUACGGACGGGCUGAGGUGGCCGGCUAGCCACUUCCCAGUCCUGUCCCUACGGGGCCUAAAAAGGCCCCCCAUCCCGGGAUCCGGAGGGUCGCUUCCCUCGCUGCGUCCCCAUUUUGCAGCUGCCGGUCUAAAAAUUGAUGUAGGCCCUGCACAAUCAGGUGUUGGCCGAGAUCACUCCCACUCACUGUGCAGUAAGUUGAUCUACUCUGGAUACCUCAAACACCAACUUCUUUCCUGCAUGUAUGAACCUUUGCACAAUUUGUUCCCUCUACCUGAAUUCUCUCUUCCCCAUUCAACACAUGGCACUUCCCUUCAUCCUUUAGAUUACAUCUAAAAUAGUACCUUCUUAAAGAAGACUUUCCUGACUACUGUAUGGCAAGUGAGCCCUCUUUUUUUAUUUGCAGGUUCAAUUUCAUUUUUAUACUUUUUACAACUAGCAAUUGUUGUUGUUCUCCUAACCCCUAAAAUGUAAGUUCUGUGAGUAUAGGAACUGUAUUUUGCUUAGCCACUAAUGUAUACUCAGUGACUAUAAACACAACACAAGCAAAUCAAUAUUUGUUGAACAAUGAAUAAAGGCUGAUGUGGCUGGAUAGAGACCAUGGGGAGGAGUAGAGAGUGCUUUUGGAGGCAUGGGCCAAGGCCAGACCCUGUAAGUCUUAGCCAGGUUACUGACUUGAGUAUUAUGAAAUGUUUACUGGGUAACCGAUUUUAAGCAUGGGCAUGGUAUAUCCAAUGUCCAUCUAUCUUUUGAAACGGUUAAUCUCUUGGAGAAAUUAAAGGCAGUCAAGGAGGAGGCUACUGAACCAGUCAGGAGACUGUUGCAAGAGAUCCCAGCAAAAGAUAAUGAUAAUGUGGACUUGGGAGAUGGCAGAGGAGUUGCAGAAAAGUGUCCAGAUUUCAGAAAUAUUUUUUUCUACAUUUUUCAUUUCAGCACCAGCCACUGGGUUUUCCCUUAGAGAUGCAGAGCCAGCUUGACUGGGAAGUGCUUAAGAUUUAGUGCCUAUUCCAAAGAAUUCCAUCUGUGCCCUUGAAAUGAAUAUUAACAUAAAAUGAAAAAUUUAGUAAGUUAUAUCAAGCUGAUUUUCUGCCCUAACCACAGUUUCGACUGUUACUAAUAGCUAACUUUCUAUAUGCAAGGUAGUAGUCUUAGCAUUUUAUAUUCAUUUAAUCCUAACAGUAUCUCUGUGAGGUAAUUUGUUGUUAUUAUCCCCAAUUAAUUGAAGAGGAAACUGAGACAUGGAGCUAGUAAAGAAAUUGUAAAGGUACCUACUAAAUAGAAGUGUUGAAGAUUAAAGCAGGUAAUAGUGUAUUUAUAAAAGUAUCUGGCACAUGUUAAAUAAUAACUUGCUUAAAUUUAUAUAACUAAUAAACAGGGAGACUGGAUUUUGAAUCUGGAUGAUCUGGCUCCAGAGUCUGUGCAUUCUUUGGCCUCUCAAAGUUUGGACCCAACACCCUUGGAGUUCUCGUAAGAAAAAAAACAAAGUGCUUAACUCCUACUGCAAAGCCAUCUUCGAAAGCAAGACUAACACAGCUCACUUUUCAACCCCAAAAUAAUACUUUUGAAUAUGUAUUAAUUGCAAAGGUUUAAAUAACAAGUCCAACAAAAAUUUAUCAACCACCCACUAAGUGGCAGAUGUCUCUACCCUUAAAAGUCCUUCCAUCCAAAGCAGCCCUUCUCCACCUGGGAUUUUAAGAGACAGUUAAUCCCUAAUGCCUUUCAGCACCCAUUGUGUGUAAUGUAUUAACCUCUUUCGUAUGCGUCUAGAAUAGCACUAGUUCUGCACCAUCCUGAAAAAACAGUCAAUUUUUUUUAUCCCCUGUGGUUCAUAUGGGGAAAUCCAUAUGCAAAGAAUUUCAAAACAUGACAAAAGCUGUAAUAGAAAUGAAUAAGGAGUAAUGGAGCAGAGUGAGCAUAGCUUAACAGUAGUGGCUGUGAAGUCAGACAGACUUGAGAUUGAGUAUAAGCCCAGCCACUGCUAGGGCUCAUAAAAUUGUUGUAAGGAUUAAAAAUAGCAUUUAUAAGUUAUUUAGUAUUAUCCUGGCACAUAGUAGGUUUCAUAAUGGUAGUAAUAUUUAUUAAAUCUGUUUAUUAAGUCACUAGAAUGCAAGCUGUCUUGGUCCUCUAUAGUCCCCACAUUUAAAACUGUGCCUUGCACAAAACAAGUACUCAAUAAAUACUUAUUGAUGUAAUAAGGGAUGUCUACUAGGGAAGAUUUCUUAAUGUAGCAUGUAGGCUGAAGAAAAUAUUGGGAUUUGCUAGUGAAUUGCAAGAGGAGGCCAUUCCAGGCCAUGGAAAGCUAUGAAACAAUGACAAAAAAGGACAAGAGUUCAUGAAAGAUUCCAAAAACUAAAUACCUAUUUCAGCAUGACUGUGAACAUAUGGCAGGACAUAAAAAAAGUAGGCAGAGGCUAGAUCAUAAGGGGCCCUGUAAAGUGCUAAAGAAGAGCUAGAAUUAUAUUCUGUAAGGCCUAGGUUUUACCCAGCAGAGUUAUGGAAGGAAGAGUGUAAUAAGAGAAGAAACAAGAUGGAUUGAGUCUAUGUCUAUAAUACCAAAAUCUUACAAAGUGAAAGUCAAGAAAUUACACAACAGGAUGUAGAAGUUUAAGCAUAUCAUUUCAGUGUGCAAAGGUAACCAGAACAAGCAAAAAUAUAUGUAACUCUCUAAAGCUAAGUGUUUAUCUGUCUUUGUAGGAAGUAAAUAGAUAUCUGUUACUGAUACAUAAAGAAAUAACAUUAGGAGGAGCAUAUCAUUUAAAGAUGGGUAUAGUAAUUUCCAGAAAUUCUAAAAAUAAAUUAUAAAAAUAGUUGCCUCUGGAAAGCAGGCCUGGAGAUGUAAAAGGGUGAGAUUCUUUUAUUAUAUUUUUGAAUUUGUAAUAAACUUUUUUU